rnacentral:lncRNA from 1 species
GCUGAGAACUCACACAGACCCAUGAUCACACAGGACCGAGACACUAAUGAAUAGGUGUUGGUGCCUUUCCCCAGAUUAGCUCUCCCAAUUUUGGAGUGGCCAAAGGAUGGGGGAUAUGUCCUCCCUCCUGCCACACAAUCUGGUUUAUAACUAAAUCUAACCCCAUCCUUGUGAGCAUUUUCUUUUCUCCCUGCUGAAAUGCUUGUGGUGUUUUUUGGGAGCUAGUAGCAGGCCCCAGCAUCCUUUGAUUGCCCCCUAAUGGAAUCUCUUUGAUGACUGAGGAGGAUGAAGGAGAGAGGAAUCCGGGCCAUGACAGAGAUGGCCCCAGUUCUCUAAUUUUUGAGGCACUCACUAUGUCUGCAAUUGAGACCUCUAUUCCCCAAGAGUCCCUUAUUCUGUCUUUGUUAAAUUUCAGAAUGUACAUUUGUUCCUGCUGUGUGAUUGUCCAUCUGUCUGUGCCUGGACAACCACUCCAUCCCCACUGGAUGCAGUAAACAGCACCACUGCCCACUGGCAUUGUGAACCUGGUGUCCAUCACUGAGCUCUGCUGGGGAUAGUCUAUGUGGCAGCUGCUGUAGCUCUUGCUCAGAGUGCUGGAUCCCAGAGUAUUGCAGAAGCCCAAGUGGCCAGACCUAGAGCAAGAGCCCAAAAUCAGAACCCUGCAAGCUGGAGACCAGCAGGCAUUACCAUCUGGGGCUCCCGUAGGAGCUGGCGGUGCCAGGCCACGCUGUCCACUCGACUCUGCUGCUUGUUCCAGUGCAUGAGGAGGUGACCUUAACUUCCAGACAAUGUGGCCAGAUGAGGGAACACAGACUGCAUGGAGGACCUUGGAAGAGUUUGCGGGGCACAGCCCUGCUGGCACAAAGCCUGACACAGAAGGACACAGACACCCCUGCACGGUGAACAGUGACUGAUACUUGUCAUUUACAAGCCUCUUCUUCAGCUCAUCCCCAUGUUGAAAGCAAGAGCUGCUGAGGUAGGGUUACAUGCUGCCAAAAAUGAAAACUGAGGUUCAGAGAGUAUGUGAUUGCUUCAAUGGGCCCAGAGUAGUGAUGAGUUAUCCCCAGUGCUGAUGUGACAAAAUCUUGCCAUUCUACUCAUAGUGUUGCUUCUUCCAGGGCAGUGGAUGUAGGAGUCUCUUCUGGGAGCUGAACCUUUGCAGGAGGCUGGACUAGCAGGGAGAGAUGCAGAGAACUGUGGGCACAGGACAGGGUCCACCGAUUGCGAAAGCAAGAAUGGAAUGAGAAGUAUGAGCAAUGGAUCGAUAUACUAGUCGAACUGAAAUAAGAUAUUGUCAGAACUAUUUGUCCAAGGAAAAUCAGAUGUUCACAACAGAAGUUACAUUCUGAGCUAGAUUUAUCAGAGCCUCCAGCCAGGAUCACUGCACCAGGCCUAGAGAGCAGAGGGAAGAUUUGUGUCUCACUUUCCCAUGGGCCUGGAGCCCUGUGUAAGCCUCAGAGCCACUGUGAAAUCCACUGCCCCUGUGCAGACCCCGAGACAGACCCAUUCUCAGGCUGCAGCACAGCAACGUGCAAAAUCCUUGCACAGGCCGACGCAUCUUUAGAUCCCAAGAUGUGGCUGGGAGCCUCAGAGCCCUGUUUCUUACUUGAGUCCAAGUAGAAGUUCACGAGAUAUUAGAUAGGGUUCCCUGGAUUCUGCCAGAACCAGUCACCGAUUUCUUCUGAUGGAAUCACUGAUUCAUUGUGGUGAUUAUCCAAGGGUGUAUAAAUAUCUUAAAACACACAAAAUUGGGCACUUUAAAUAUCAGGGGUUUAUUUUGUUAAUUAUUCCUCAAUAAAAAGACACAUAAAAAAUAGGCUGAAA